GACUGCACGGGAUAAUCGAUUGUCCCGUGCGGUCCACUUAACCUGACCGCAUGGGAAAAUGGUUAUCCUGUGCAGUU
rnacentral:pre_miRNA from 13 species